rnacentral:rRNA from 1 species
AGUGAACGCUGGCGGUAGGCCUAACACAUGCAAGUCGAACGGCAGCACAGGAGAGCUUGCUCUCUGGGUGGCGAGUGGCGGACGGGUGAGGAAUACAUCGGAAUCUACUUUUUCGUGGGGGAUAACGUAGGGAAACUUACGCUAAUACCGUAUACGACCUACGGGUGAAAGCAGGGGAUCUUCGGACCUUGCGCGAUUGAAUGAGCCGAUGUCGGAUUAGCUAGUUGGCGGGGUAAAGGCCCACCAAGGCUACGAUCCGUAGCUGGUCUGAGAGGAUGAUCAGCCACACUGGAACUGGGACACGGUCCAGACUCCUACGGGAGGCAGCAGUGGGGAAUAUUGGACAAUGGGCGCAAGCCUGAUCCAGCCAUACCGCGUGGGUGAAGAAGGCCUUCGGGUUGUAAAGCCCUUUUGUUGGGAAAGAAAUCCAGCUGGUUAAUACCCGGUUGGGAUGACGGUACCCAAAGAAUAAGCACCGGCUAACUUCGUGCCAGCCGCCGCAGUAA